GAUGAACGCUGGCGGCGUGCCUAAUACAUGCAAGUCGAGCGAACAGACGAGGAGCUUGCUCCUCUGACGUUAGCGGCGGACGGGUGAGUAACACGUGGAUAACCUACCUAUAAGACUGGGAUAACUUCGGGAAACCGGAGCUAAUACCGGAUAAUAUAUUGAACCGCAUGGUUCAAUAGUGAAAGACGGUUUUGCUGUCACUUAUAGAUGGAUCCGCGCCGCAUUAGCUAGUUGGUAAGGUAACGGCUUACCAAGGCAACGAUGCGUAGCCGACCUGAGAGGGGGAUCGGCCACACUGGAGCUGAGACACGGCCCAGACUCCGAGGGGAGGCAGCAGGAGGGAAUCUACCGCAAUGGGCGAAAGCCUGACGGAGCAACGCCGCGUGAGUGAUGAAGGUCUUCGGAUCGUAAAACUCUGUUAUUAGGGAAGAACAAAUGUGUAAGUAACGAUGCACGUCUUGACGGUACCGAAGCAGAAAGCCACGGCUAACUACGU
rnacentral:rRNA from 1 species